rnacentral:rRNA from 1 species
AUGAAAAUGCAUAUUCUUGGACAUAACCCCGCCGUUUGGGCUAUUGUGUGUAUUGGCUUGCAAGGUGAAUUCUUUGAUGGGAGAGAACCAAACCGUGAAACAAUUGCGGAAGAGUUGAAGAUGCUGCAAUACAAUGCUCAAGCUUGCGAUAUCCUCUUCAACGGAUUUUGCCCUGAAGAAUUCAACAAAAUCAGCCGUCUUGAGAAUGCAAAGAAAAUUUGGGAUACUUUGAUUGAUAUGCACGAGGGUACCGACUCUGUCAAGGAAUUCAAAUUGGAUGUGCUUCAAAGUCAACCUGACAAGUUCAAAAUGAUGGAUGGUGAAGGUGUCGCUGAAAUGUACUCUAGGCUUGCUCUCAUCACAAAUGAGAUUGCCGGCUUAGGAAGUGAAGAGAUGACCGAUAGAUUCAUCAUCAAGAAGAUCCUAAGAGCCUUCGAUGGAAAAUAUGAUACCGUGUGCACAUUGAUCCAAAUGAUGCCCAAUUACAAAGAUCUCAGGCCAACAGAAGUCAUUGGAAGAAUUGUUGCUCAUGAGAUGUCACUCAAGGAUAAGGAAGAGCUUCACAACAAGUCAAGUGGUUCUUACAAAGCCUCAGGUGAUGCUCCUACAUCAUCAAGUGAGAAACAAACCUUCAAUAAGGAAUUGAGCCUAAUGGUGAAGAACUUCAACAAGUUCUACAAUAGUAGAAGCAAGGAAAUAAGUUCCAAGUCAAGGUCCUACAAUGACAAAAUAUCUUCAAGUCGUGAGCGUAAUUGCUACAAUUGUGGAAGACCCAGACACUACUCCAAUGAGUGUACGCCCCCUACAAAAGAAGAGAAGAUUCACCCAAAAGGAGAAGUAGAAGAGAAGAAUCACCACCAAGAGAAAGGAGGAGUAGAGAUGAUAUAA